rnacentral:miRNA from 1 species
CUUCUAAAGUUUGCAAAUUUUGUAUACUUUUGUAUUGCAAUUUUCACAUGCAAUACAAAAGUAUACAACAUUUGCAAACUUUGCUAUAUUUU